CCUACGGGAGGCAGCAGUGAGGAAUAUUGGUCAAUGGACGAGAGUCUGAACCAGCCAAGUAGCGUGAAGGAUGACUGCCCUAUGGGUUGUAAACUUCUUUUAUAUGGGAAUAAAACGUUCCACGUGUGAGAUUUUGUAUGUACCAUAUGAAUAAGGAUCGGCUAACUCCGUGCCAGCAGCCGCGGUAAUACGGAGGAUCCGAGCGUUAUCCGGAUUUAUUGGGUUUAAAGGGAGCGUAGGUGGAUUGUUAAGUCAGUUGUGAAAGUUUGCGGCUCAACCGUAAAAUUGCAGUUGAAACUGGCAGUCUUGAGUACAGUAGAGGUGGGCGGAAUUCGUGGUGUAGCGGUGAAAUGCUUAGAUAUCACGAAGAACUCCGAUUGCGAAGGCAGUUCACUGGACUGCAACUGACACUGAGGCUCGAAAGUGUGGGUAUCAAACAGGAUUAGAUACCCUUGUAGUC
rnacentral:rRNA from 1 species